rnacentral:rRNA from 1 species
UACGAAGGGGGCUAGCGUUGUUCGGAAUUACUGGGCGUAAAGCGUGCGCAGGCGGUUUGCUAAGACCGAUGUGAAAUCCCCGGGCUCAACCUGGGAACUGCAUUGGUGACUGGCAGGCUAGAGUAUGGCAGAGGGGGGUAGAAUUCCACGUGUAGCAGUGAAAUGCGUAGAGAUGUGGAGGAAUACCGAUGGCGAAGGCAGCCCCCUGGGCCAAUACUGACGCUCAUGCACGAAAGCGUGGGGAGCAAACAGG